CUUGGGAAAUGAUGCUAACGAAAAAACUUGUUGUCAUAGGCCCAGCAAUAUGCCUGUGCUGAGUACUUUUGCACGUCAGUCUGAUUCCAAG